CAGGCUCCUCCGAGCCCCUGAUGGCACGGCCAGGCCAGUCUGAGGCCCAGGGGAGGCCACAGGAGCGCCUGAGCCCAGGACAAAUCCCUGCCCUCCUGGGAGGGACCAGCUCGAAACACAGGUCUGUCGCCGGUGCUGGCUGCUGGAGGAGGGACACAUGGUCCCUGGGAUCUGGUCCUGGAGGAGAGGAACGUUUCAGAGACACCUGUGUGGCUCAGCUUUCCCUUGUCUGGAUGCCUGAAGAUGUGGAGAAGCACUAUGAUCCACCUCACAGUUCUUGACUAUUAUUGUAGAGGGCACAGAGCUAGAGGAGGACGAAGGCCCAAGAGCUGGACAUCUGGAUGAGCAGGCCCGGUGCUAAGACCCAGAUUCAACCCUGCGGAGGGCAGCCUGGGCUGGACCUGGCCUCUGGUUGGCCUCUUUCUCCGGAGAGACCCACAGCUCCCCCAAGAUGUCAGCACUUGGUGUGCCCGGUACUGAGAGAGCUGAGGUCGCAGAGAUGGUGGUAAUGUCCUGAGGGCCUACGGUGUGCCAGCCACUGUGCUAAGUGCUUCCAGAUGGACCACUUCACUGGACCCCUCCCAGCUACCCCCACGAGCAAUGUAUGAAACACCUACUAUGUGCCAGGCUAUUCUGGACUCGGAGAUCCUGCCGCCGAGAGAGAAUCCCUACCCUUUUGGAACAUGCGUCCCACUGCAUGAGAUGAAUAGAAACAAGGAAACAA